AGAGUUUGAUCAUGGCUCAGAUUGAACGCUGGCGGCAGGCCUAACACAUGCAAGUCGAACGGUAACAGGAAGCAGCUUGCUGCUUCGCUGACGAGUGGCGGACGGGUGAGUAAUGUCUGGGAAACUGCCUGAUGGAGGGGGAUAACUACUGGAAACGGUAGCUAAUACCGCAUAAUGUCGCAAGACCAAAGAGGGGGACCUUCGGGCCUCUUGUCAUCGGAUGCGCCCAGAUGGGAUUAGCUUGUUGGUGGGGUAACGGCUCACCAAGGCGACGAUCCCUAGCUGGUCUGAGAGGAUGACCAGCCACACUGGAACUGAGACACGGUCCAGACUCCUACGGGAGGCAGCAGUGGGGAAUAUUGCACAAUGGGCGCAAGCCUGAUGCAGCCAUGCCGCGUGUAUGAAGAAGGCCUUCGGGUUGUAAAGUACUUUCAGCGGGGAGGAAGGGAGUAAAGUUAAUACCUUUGCUCAUUGACGUUACCCGCAGAAGAAGCACCGGCUAACUCCGUGCCAGCAGCCGCGGUAAUACGGAGGGUGCAAGCGUUAAUCGGAAUUACUGGGCGUAAAGCGCACGCAGGCGGUUUGUUAAGUCAGAUGUGAAAUCCCCGGGCUCAACCUGGGAACUGCAUCUGAUACUGGCAAGCUUGAGUCUCGUAGAGGGGGGUAGAAUUCCAGGUGUAGCGGUGAAAUGCGUAGAGAUCUGGAGGAAUACCGGUGGCGAAGGCGGCCCCCUGGACGAAGACUGACGCUCAGGUGCGAAAGCGUGGGGAGCAAACAGGAUUAGAUACCCUGGUAGUCCACGCCGUAAACGAUGUCGACUUGGAGGUUGUGCCCUUGAGGCGUGGCUUCCGGAGCUAACGCGUUAAGUCGACCGCCUGGGGAGUACGGCCGCAAGGUUAAAACUCAAAUGAAUUGACGGGGGCCCGCACAAGCGGUGGAGCAUGUGGUUUAAUUCGAUGCAACGCGAAGAACCUUACCUGGUCUUGACAUCCACGGAAGUUUUCAGAGAUGAGAAUGUGCCUUCGGGAACCGUGAGACAGGUGCUGCAUGGCUGUCGUCAGCUCGUGUUGUGAAAUGUUGGGUUAAGUCCCGCAACGAGCGCAACCCUUAUCCUUUGUUGCCAGCGGUCCGGCCGGGAACUCAAAGGAGACUGCCAGUGAUAAACUGGAGGAAGGUGGGGAUGACGUCAAGUCAUCAUGGCCCUUACGACCAGGGCUACACACGUGCUACAAUGGCGCAUACAAAGAGAAGCGACCUCGCGAGAGCAAGCGGACCUCAUAAAGUGCGUCGUAGUCCGGAUUGGAGUCUGCAACUCGACUCCAUGAAGUCGGAAUCGCUAGUAAUCGUGGAUCAGAAUGCCACGGUGAAUACGUUCCCGGGCCUUGUACACACCGCCCGUCACACCAUGGGAGUGGGUUGCAAAAGAAGUAGGUAGCUUAACCUUCGGGAGGGCGCUUACCACUUUGUGAUUCAUGACUGGGGUGAAGUCGUAACAAGGUAACCGUAGGGGAACCUGCGGUUGGAUCACCU
rnacentral:rRNA from 1 species